rnacentral:tRNA from 1 species
GGAGGCGUGGCUGAGUGGCCGAAAGCAGCUCACUGCUAAUGAGUUGACCGCCUUAAAAGUGGUCCGCAGGUUCGAAUCCUGCCGCCUCCG